rnacentral:rRNA from 1 species
UACGGGGGGAGUAAGCGUUGUUCGGAUUUACUGGGCGUAAAGGGCGCGUAGGCGGCCACCGCAAGUCAAUUGUGAAAUCUCCGGGCUUAACUCGGAAAGGUCAACUGAUACUGCGGGGCUAGAGUGCGGAAGGGGCAACUGGAAUUCUCGGUGUAGCGGUGAAAUGCGUAGAUAUCGAGAGGAACACCUGCGGCGAAGGCGGGUUGCUGGGCCGACACUGACGCUGAGGCGCGAAAGCCAGGGGAGCGAACGGG